GAUGAACGCUGGCGGCGUGCUUAACACAUGCAAGUCGAGCGAGAAGUUUUGAAAAGAUUCUUCGGAUGAAAUUUAAAAUGGAAAGCGGCGGACGGGUGAGUAACGCGUAGGCAACCUGCCCCAUACAAAGGGAUAGCAUUUGGAAACGAAUAUUAAUACCUUAUGAAACUUAACUAGUGCAUGCUAGGUAGGUCAAAGAUUUAUCGGUAUGGGAUGGGCCUGCGUCUGAUUAGCUAGUUGGUGAGGUAACGGCUCACCAAGGCGACGAUCAGUAGCCGACCUGAGAGGGUGAACGGCCACAUUGGAACUGAGACACGGUCCAAACUCCUACGGGAGGCAGCAGUGGGGAAUAUUGCACAAUGGGGGAAACCCUGAUGCAGCAACGCCGCGUGGACGAGGAAGGCCUUUGGGUCGUAAAGUUCUGUUCUAGGUGAUGAAAACUGACAGUAACCUAGGAGAAAGCCCCGGCUAACUCCGUG
rnacentral:rRNA from 1 species